UACGUAGGGUGCAAGCGUUGUCCGGAAUUAUUGGGCGUAAAGAGCUCGUAGGCGGUUUGUCGCGUCUGCUGUGAAAACUCGGGGCUUAACCCCGGGCCUGCAGUGGGUACGGGCAGACUAGAGUGCGGUAGGGGAGACUGGAAUUCCUGGUGUAGCGGUGAAAUGCGUAGAUAUCAGGAGGAACACCGGUGGCGAAAGCGCGAUACUGGGCCAUAACUGACGCUGAGGAACGAAAGCGUGGGGAGCGAACAGG
rnacentral:rRNA from 1 species